AGCUGUUCCCCUCUGGAGGUUUUUGACCUUCACAAUUCAAAGGGCCCUGGUUUUCCAGUGGCCCUCUUUUUUUGCCCAA
rnacentral:sRNA from 1 species